rnacentral:misc_RNA from 1 species
GAAAUGCGAUAAGUAAUGUGAAUUGCAGAAUUCAGUGAACCAUCGAAUCUUUGAACGCACCUUGCGCUCCUUGGUAUUCCGAGGAGCAUGCCUGUUUGAGUGUCAUGGAAUUCUCAACUCUAUUUGCUUUUGUGAAUAGAGCUUGGAUUUGGAGGUUUAUUGCUGGUACUUGUGAUCGGCUCCUCUUGAAUGCAUUAGCUCGAACCUUUGCGGAUCAGCUAUCGGUGUGAUAAUUGUCUACGCCGUUGCAGUGAAGCAUAUCAAUGGGCUCGGCUUCCAAUCGUCCUUUACUGGACAAUGACUUUGACCUUUGACCUCAAAUCAGGUAGGAUUACCCGCUGAACUUAAGC